GCUAAUUUGCUGAGGCUGGCUUUGAACUUGCGAUUUUUUAAUAUGAUAAUUACUCAUAAUGUAAAAUUUACGAUUUUAGCUGAAAGUGUAUCUCCGUGGUAGAGUGCAUUCCUAGCAUGAUUGAGGCCCCUGAAAAAAAUUUUUUUUCAUCCCAGCACUGGAAAUUUUUUUUUUAACAUGUAUACAUGUAGAGUUAAAACUUUUUAACAUGUACACUUCAGAGGCAUUGAAUACAUCCACAACAUUAUGCACCCAUCACGACUACUGUCCAUUUUCUGCACCUAUUAAAUAGUAACUCCCCAUUCCUCCUCUUUCUCUAGUCUGGUUUUUAUCUGUAAAUUUGCCUAUUCGAUUUUGCUUACUUAAGUGAAAUCAUGUAAUAUUUGUUCUCCCCCAACCCCGUUUUUUUUUUUUUUAAUAUUUAUUUUUUAGUUUUCAGCAGACACAACAUCUUUGUUUGUAUGUGGUGCUGAGGAUCGAACCCGGGCCGCACGCAUGCCAGAUCAUUUCUUUGUAUUCACAAAAACUGGCUUGCCUUGAAAAGCUCCCUCCUAAAGGCCAGCUGGUUGCUCACAGUCUCCACAAUCAUAUUGGCAGCCUCUUCAUCUUGGAACAGAGCUUGAACCUGCUGUAGGUCACCAGAGAAGAGAGCAUUGUGGACAGCUGGGUCCCUGCAGGAGCGGCGAGGCCUUGUGAGUCGGGCCUGGAAACUUGAGGGGCACCUGUGGCUGCGGCACUGCUGGGCAGCUGCACGUCGCCGAUCCUCCCAUUCCAGCCACUCCCGCUGCAGGCGGAGAGCACGCAGCGUAGAGGAGGUGAAGGGGAAGGUCUCCCCUGCCAUGCGGAGGGGCCCAGGAGACUGGGCAGUGGCACCUGGGCAGAUCCUUGUUCCUCAGCGGGACUACCACCCUUGUUCUGGAGAAUCAGCCGGUCUCCUGCCCCUCCCCGGUGAGCAGGGAGAAGAGCAGCUGAGACUAUAAAUAGGCUCUUCACUACUCUGGUAAACAGUUUGCCAAGAAUCAUGAUCCUGGUGCAGAGAUGGUGCUGGGCCAGUUCCUGCCCCAUUUGAUUGGUCAGCAGGUCCUCAACUGAGGCUACCUCAGGACUCCAGGACCGCAUCCUCCUACAUCUCUAGUGUGUCUCGGUUGGCAAGGUCCAAGGGAGAUCCAGCCCAGAAGGAAAACGGACAGCCUCCCUGGAUUUCUCUUGAAGUGCUGUGGAAGAGAAAGUUACAAGCAGAAACUGUUUCAAAACACCCAAGGAAAGGAGCUGGGUACAGUGGCACAGGCCUGUAAUCCCAGUGACUCAG